GGUAAAAACCACGGGUCGUCCUGACCAAUGAAAUAGCUCCACUAUAAUCAAAUAUGGGUACAAGAGUCUCAAAAGCUUAUGCACAAACAGUGCCAACAACUGGUCAAACCAACAAAGCUUACAAAUGAGAACAAGAAAGAUGAAAAUACCCUAAAAAUUUUGAUUCAGUGCGAGACAGAUAUCUCUCUGUUCAUACCUCCUUUUGACAAUCUGAACAAUGAAAAGGAAGACCUAUUGUUGCAAACUUGCUCUCCAAGAACCAGCCCGAUCCAACCAUUAACGAAUCCGCAAUCAUUGCGUUUUACUAAGAAAGACAUGAGAAAUUCUGGGUUGACUUUUACUCUUCUUUUCUCUUUUUUGGUGGCUACUUUUCUCACAUAAAAACUUUGUUCUCAACCCUAAUAUGACAUCUCUCCACUUAUAUAAGUGAGACAUAAUAGGCUAACAUGUUUAGGCUUUUCUCCAUGCAGCAAGUAGCCCAAAACCCAACAAAUAUGCCAUGAGCAAAUGAUCCUGAAAACAAUGAAACACUCUUGUCAGGCCAAAAACUCUUGAGAAAAUGCGUUCUUAAACACAGAACAUAGCAAGCUGUUCUUACGGCCAAGAUAACUAUUUUCAUAAUUGUUGAACAGAAUAAAAGCCCCUACAAUCUAUUAAACUUAUUCAAUGAUCAUAGUAGUCUACUACAACAAAACCCCAAAACAUCAUCAAUGUAUUUGUAGUUGUCAUCAAUCAAGGUCAAUAUAUGUGCCAUUGAUGCUUCCAUCGCUUCUAAAUCAGAUGGGAUUUUGUCAACAGUGGUCAAAUUCAGAUUAUCAACUAUAAAUGCAAGAAGUAAAUACACAAUUAGGAUUUCAAUCAUUCAAGUCAAAGAACAUUCUUGUUCCAUUAUAGGAAACUCAAAGCAACAAACAAAUUAUAUAGUGAUACAACACUGAUGGUACUUGGAGGCUUUCUUCCAUGAAAAAAUGAUACAUAAAUAUAAAUCAGUUAGUAAACAAUAUCGAUAUGAUAUUUAGAUGCAAUCUGUUCGGCAUGAACUAAGCCACUCUCUCAACUAAGAGGCAUUGUUCUGUAGACCCAAAGACACUUCUAUAAAGGAAGAAAAUUAUUAACUCAGAGAACACAAAAUGCAGUUAUGAAAUCAUCCUUAAAAUAGAGAAAUGAUAUUUGUAACAUCAUUUUGGAACAACUUUUAGAUAAUUCUCUCUCAUACACUCGUUGUGUUCUUACCCUCUUCCUCUCUAUUGUUUUUAUCCCAAAAAUUGUAACAAAAUGGUUGCACGAGUAUCUCAAAACCUCUUUUAAAGAGACCAGAUGUCAUACUCUUAAACCAUUUAGGGGAAAAACACCUAAUUUCUAAAGCAACAUUUAUCUGAAGAAAUAUCCUAAAAUAUGUGGGAGCUAUAUUCCAUCCAAAUGUACCAUAUUGCAGCAAACUCGGCUUCUUGACAUAAGAAAUUGGAUACCUUCCAAAGGCAAUUAAACAAGUCAUAAAAAAUGGUCCAAAGACCUGGGACAAACCCAAACAUGUUACUCGGGAUCAUCUUGAUGAUCUCAGCCAUCAAAGUUAAGACUGCAGAUGAUCUAAGUCUUAUCACUCACAAGAAAAUAAACCUCCAGGUUUUCAGGGAAUCAUCAUUUGGUACGGGAUAAGGCAAUAUCAUGCAGGUUUUCCCAAAUACCCGGACACAGUUUUGGUUAUGGUCAAGGAGCAAACAUUCUAUGUGGUUAAGAAAAAAGAUAGAACAAUUAUACUUAGCAGCCAUUUCCAUUAAAAAAACUACUUAGGGAAAGAAAGAGUUGUUUAGGAUGAAAGUGAGAGUUCAGAUCUAGAAUAUAUUAUGCCGAAAUUGUUAUGGUUUAAUCCUAACUUUCAACAUGUUGCCUAGUGUAAAUGUUCAAUCUGAUCAGACAUGGAAUUUCAUUUCCUGAAUACAUUUACAAGUUCCAAAUUGAGUGAGGGUUGUAACUGGAUCAAUAUCAGAACGUUCAAAUCAAGUUGGAUAUUUAUUUCCUAUUCAAGAGCAAGUAGUUGGAUCUUUAUCCCCAUCUCUUAGCCUUGGUCUAUUUGAAAUUGUUGUCAUGGGUAGAAAUGAUGAUGGUUAUCAAGUUGAUUUUGAUACACAAAGUUGGGUCGAGGAUACGGUAAUUGGAUAUA
rnacentral:lncRNA from 1 species